AUGAGACUGUCUGUGAAUCAACAGACCUUAAAAAUCUCCUGCUCUGAGUUACAUGUUUAUUCUUCUGGUUGGAUUCCUGGUUGAAGCUGCUGAUAUAUUUCACCUUCACUCAUCGGCUUCAUUAAGAUGAUUUUCAGCAUCUAAAGGUAGAAUGACUCUGUGACAGGAUGUGGAUCUGAAGUCACCUGGUGUUUCUCUGCUAUGGAUCAGUGUGAGGACAGAGAGGAGGGAGUCCCUCCCUCUAAAAGCUCUCUGUGUGGGGAACAUGACAGCCAGACCAAAGCUCAGAGG